rnacentral:hammerhead_ribozyme from 1 species
CCACUGCUGAGGAGUCCCACAAUAGGACGAAGCGGAUGUCAAGUGC